rnacentral:rRNA from 1 species
UGAUCCGAUUAAGAGAAACAUCUUACUAGUCGGUUAACAUACCAACCGGAUAUUUGUGAGUAGUGGCGAACGAAAUUAAAUAAACCGUAUAUUACUGUAAUGUCCUGUACACUUGAUAAUUUUGGAAUGAUUAUACCGUAGUGGGUGAAAG